rnacentral:RNase_MRP_RNA from 12 species
GCUUGUGCUGAAGGCCUGUUUCCUAGGCUACGUACGGGGGACUGGUUCCCGAUUUGUGCCUAGGGGAAAGUCCCCGGACCUUGGGCAGAGAGUGCCGCGUGCGCCUGCACGUCGACUGCCCUCGCUUUUCACGAAUUAAUCCGCCAAGAAGCGAACCAAGGUCUCUUGGGGUAGCUGAGCGGCGUGUGGCGGGGGUGUCAUCCGUCAGCCCUACCUAGUUACACAGGCAGUGCGUGCCUGCGCGCACCAACCACACGGGGCUCAUUCUCAGCGCGGC